AUAAUAUUUUAUCACUUAAUAUUUGCCUUCCAAACAAAGCCAAUAUUUACCGUACUUGAUUCUCUUGCCAUUGAACGAGGAAAUAAACGAACAAUAUAUUAUAAUAAAAAGUAGGAAAAGAAAACGAAAAUAUUGCAAUAUUAUAUUAUUAUUGCCUCAUUACUUACUAUGAGAUUAUUACGAUUUUGAGUUCUAUACAUACAAGAGGACUUGUGCUAAUGUGUUAUCUCUUCUCUACCCGCUUCGUAUAUUUUAUAAAUAGCCAGGAAAAUCUUAGGGUUGGUUUCUUGGUACGUACAAUAUUUUGUUUCUUCUUCUUCUUCUUCUUAAUUUGUAGUGCUUGUUCGUUUUGGUGUCAUGUACCCUAAUAAUAAGAAGCGUCGUUGUGGGAACAUGGCCGCUGGUGUUGCCUUCAAAUACUACAGUUGCAGUAGGUACAUAUCAUCACCAGAAUGGGCAAGUCUUCCUCUGCUGCCUGUGUUUUUGGUUCUAGAUAAUUUGUUUGAGCCCAUUGACCAUGUUUCUUUUGCUGCCGUCUGCAAGCAAUGGCGUUCUCUUGCAAAAGACUAUAAUCAAGCAACACAGCGGUGGCGGCAUAACAACCUACUUCCCAUGCUCUUGAUCCCUAAUGAAUAUGAAUGCCAAGGCGACGGCGGCAAGAAUAGCCGCCUCCUAACGAAAACGAACCACCGAAAAGCAUUAUACAGCAUUGCUGAAGGCAAAAUCUACAACAAUAUUGGAUUGGAAGUGCCUUUUAAAAAGAGGUCUUGUGGGUCUAGCCACGGUUGGUUUGCCACAGUAGAAUCCGUCACAGACCAAGGUCCGAUUAUAGCACUCCGGGACCCUUUCAGAAAUCCGGCAUCGCCCAUUCUUCUCCCUCUCUUGGAUGUCAUACCCAAGAAACGUGACAAAUACUUCCACGAAUUCAAUGUGAGAAAGGUCAUCUUCUCUGCUGACCCUGCUUUGAAUCCAGAUAACUAUGUGGUUGUAGCACUGUUACGUAAAGCUAAUCAUUUUGUGGGUAUUUAUGAUGAAUUUGCUUUCAUUCAUAUGAAAAGAGGCCUAAGCCAAAAACGUUGGACUUGGAUUAAGCCCCCACUUCCGGUCACUGAUGUUAUAUCUUACCAAACCCAAGUCCACCUACUUGGACAUCAGGGAGAGAUUUGGUCAUUAGAUGUCAGCCCUUAUACUUCAAGAAUACGACGACUAAAGCUGCUUACACAUCGGGACGCAGGCUUCCACCGUUAUAAAGCUACAAGAUAUCUUGUAGAAUCAACCAAGGGAGACUUAAUGCAUAUCGAAAGAGUUUGUAAACAAACACAAGGGGCCUACAAGAAUGUUAUGACUGAAAGCUUUAGGGUUUACAAAGUGGUGUUCGACGACGAAGACGGAUCUGUUUUACAACAUGUUGAGGUAAAAAGCAUUGGAGAUGAUGCCUUUUUCAUAGGUGACAAUCAUUCCGUCUCUGUUUUGGCUUCCAACUUUCAUGGAUGCCAGUCAAAUUCCAUAUAUUAUACCCAUGAUUUCUCAUCGUCGUCUUUUGUUUACGGAGACCAUAUCCAAUAUGAUACGCUAUAUGACGACAUGCCAUGUCGCGAUAUGGGUAUUUUUAAUUUAGAGAGCGGAACCAUCACACAACAUUUCUCCUUAGAUCCUUAUUCUGAUUUGCAGGGUUAUAUACCGCCUGCAGUCUGGGUUGUACCCCAGUUUAAUGGACUCCGCUAGCUAGCUUCUUACAAUUAAAUUAACUUUUCAUGUGAUUUCAUCAACGUAAUGUAUUGCACUUUUUUUUCUUUUUCUUUUUCUUUUUUAUGAUGAUCCAUGUGAUCAACUGUGUUCCUGUUUUUUUUUCUUUUCCUAAUAGAUAUGUGGAGUUUAUUUUACUGAUGUGUUAAGAUCGAUGAUUUGAUAAUAUUGCACUAAGUUUUGCUUGGGUUCCAUCUGCCUUAAGGCUGCAAUAGUGGGCUCUAAAUGCCUCAGCCCAACGGAGGUUUGCAACCACACCCAUCAUUGGGCUUGUCCUAAGACCAAUAAUCCCGAAAAGUUGAACCCCAAAGUGGUUGAUUUUGGCCGGUAAUAAUAAUAAUAUUAUGUCGUUGCCUCUAUCCUCUCAUUCUUCGAAAUCAAGUUCUAGGGUUUUGAGAAUUCAAGCUCCAUGGCUUGGCUACCCACAAUCGUAUCGAUGACGAUGAUCAUUUCGGAGGCCAUUUUCUUGGAACUCACAAUUUCAGGCGGCGUGUUGCUUGAGAUGCUAUUCGAGGAGUUUGGU